rnacentral:rRNA from 1 species
UGCCAGCAGCCGCGGUAAUACAGAGAUGGCAACCGUUGUUCGGAAUCACUGGGCUUAAAGAGCACGUAGGCGGAGUAUUAAGUUGAUUGUGAAAGCCCCGGGCUCAACCUGGGAACUGCAUUCGAUACUGGCAGACUAGAGUAUAGAAGAGGCAAGUGGAAUUCCGGGUGUAGCGGUGAAAUGCGUAGAUAUCCGGAGGAACAUCAGUGGCGAAGGCGACUUGCUGGUCUAAUACUGACGCUGAGGAGCGAAAGCGUGGGGAGCAAACAGGAUUAGAUA